rnacentral:ncRNA from 1 species
AAACUCUGGAAAGUGGGCACAUAGCAUAUGAGCCCCACCGAAGGUGAAAACUACUCUAUCUAACGUGAUGGAGGGUGAAUCUCUCAGGUUUUUCGACAGAGGGGG